rnacentral:rRNA from 1 species
AGCGAACGCUGGCGGCAGGCUUAACACAUGCAAGUCGAACGGGCACUUCGGUGCCAGUGGCAGACGGGUGAGUAACACGUGGGAACGUACCUUUUGGUUCGGAACAACUGAGGGAAACUUCAGCUAAUACCGGAUAAGCCCUUACGGGGAAAGAUUUAUCGCCGAAAGAUCGGCCCGCGUCUGAUUAGCUAGUUGGUAGGGUAAUGGCCUACCAAGGCGACGAUCAGUAGCUGGUCUGAGAGGAUGAUCAGCCACAUUGGGACUGAGACACGGCCCAAACUCCUACGGGAGGCAGCAGUGGGGAAUAUUGGACAAUGGGGGCAACCCUGAUCCAGCCAUGCCGCGUGAGUGAUGAAGGCCCUAGGGUUGUAAAGCUCUUUUGUGCGGGAAGAUAAUGACGGUACCGCAAGAAUAAGCCCCGGCUAACUUCGUGCCAGCAGCCGCCGUAAUAC